UUGACAAUUUAUCGAGUCUCGCUAUAUAUUUCUUGUUAUUGAACGAAUGAAAAUAACGCAUUAUUAUGUAGAUAUCGUAUAUUAUCAUAAUUUUGUCGGCUUAAUCGUGAACAUUACGAAGGUAUAUUUUUUAACGAAAUGAAUAAAUUCCCAGAGAGUUACAAGUUGCAAUAUAUAAUACGUAUAUUUAAAUAUCAUUAUUUUCUUAAAGAUUUAUCGGAAUAUAAAGAAUGCAUUAGUUCGAUUUUUAAAAAAUUUUCUAAUUCAAAAUAACAUUCUUUCGUUAUUUAAGUAGCUUUCACUAUUAAACCGACAUUGUGUUCAAAUGCUAUUUAAACCGAUCUGACAAAUGUAUUUCGUAAAAGAAAAAUUGCAAGUGAAAGAAAGAAAGAGAGAAAGAGAGAAAGAGAGAAUGAAAGAAAGAAUGAAAGAGAUUUUGAUGAAAGGCGUAGAAUUAAAGAAUUUAAUAAAAAAUAAUGUAAAAAAAGUUCUUAACGUUUAAAAUCUUCGUUUAAACUUAUAUAUAUACGAAAUCGAUAAAAAUGGCGAACUUUUCGUUAAAUAUUUUUAUCGAAAGGAUACUUCUUGUAUCCAAUCAAUCUCAGAGAUAUUCUAUAAUAAAUGGAUAUCUUCAACGAUAGUACAUCGACAAUGUAAUAUUUAAUAUAAUUACAUUAAACUUUUUCGUAAAAUAAACGGACAUGUAGUUCUCUAUUAUGAAUUUAUAAUUUAGCGGGCAUCUUGUGACGUCAUCUUUUAGAUAAAUUUCAUAAAAGAUCCGUUAGUGGAGCUAGUAUCUACUACUUACAAAAAUGGUUGCGCCUAUAAGGCAUCAUUUUAUUAUGCGUAGUUGUGUAUCCUAAUAUAUCUCAUUCGUUGUAAACAUUAAAGUUAGAAAAAUGGUACAAAGGAAAAUAUUUGUGUAAAAUUGUAUACUUGUUUACGUCAGUAAUCACAUAUCCAUAGUAAUUAGAUAUAUUGAAAGAAAAGAAAGUCUUUUGGUUACUUACUGUGGAAACAAAUCUUUUAAUAAUGGAUGAGCACACUUUACCUUUCUCAAUGUGUUUUGAAUUCAUCCUAACAAUAUAUCUUGUUUAUCUGCGGAUACCUGUCGUAUUUAUGCAGCUGCAGAAAAUAUUGUAUAUGCAUGGAGAAAAGAAAAUCUAUAGAAAAGGAAUAGAGCUAUAUAGUAGCUUCUCAUUCUGGUCUAGGCACAGUUACUACGUUGUCUUAUGAUUUAUUAAAGAUGGAUGAUCAUAAAUUAUCAGAAAGGUUUAAAAAUAAUCGUAAUGCUACUUGUGCCUUACCAAAUGUGAAAAUUUUGUUAUUAUAGCAAUAAACGUGAAAUGCAUAAAAAUUCGAUAAGGGACAUAGUGAUAGAUGUUUUAAAUAGAAGUUAUUGCUAGAAGGGAUUUCUUAAUAAAACUUUAAUGUUUCAAAUCUAAGAAUGGUAAGUAAAUCUUAAUAGAAAAUAGAAAUAUUUUUUGUAUUUCAAAUUUUUGUUUAAAUUAAAUAUUAUAUAAAAUUAAGAUACAUUCAGAGUUAAAAUGACUACUAUAACACUACCUGAAUCAAUAGAAUGGAUGUGAUAUUACAAAUCACAAUGAAUUGAAUAUAAUUUCAUAACUGUUGCAUUAAAAGAUUUUGCAGUGAUUUUAAUUGAUUUAAAUAUAAAAAAAAUAAUGAGACAUUUUUGUGGACAUAAAGGACAACUUGUAGAUGCAAUAUUUUGUCUUGAUACGAGAUAAUUAAACAUAUCUUCUAUAGAUUGUACAAGGAUUUGGGAUAUCUUAUCUUCUCGUUUAAUGGAUUUAUUUCAAAUAAAGGCUUUGUAUACGUGA